AUUGAACGCUGGCGGCAUGCCUUACACAUGCAAGUCGAACGGUAACAGGUCUUCGGAUGCUGACGAGUGGCGAACGGGUGAGUAAUACAUCGGAACGUGCCCGAUCGUGGGGGAUAACGCAGCGAAAGCUGUGCUAAUACCGCAUACGAUCUACGGAUGAAAGCGGGGGAUCGCAAGACCUCGCGCGGACGGAGCGGCCGAUGGCAGAUUAGGUAGUUGGUGGGAUAAAAGCUUACCAAGCCGACGAUCUGUAGCUGGUCUGAGAGGACGACCAGCCACACUGGGACUGAGACACGGCCCAGACUCCUACGGGAGGCAGCAGUGGGGAAUUUUGGACAAUGGGCGCAAGCCUGAUCUAGCCAUGCCGCGUGCAGGAUGAAGGCCUCGGGUUGUAAACUGCUUUGUACGGACGAAAAAGACUCUCUCUAAUACAGGGGUGAAUGACGGUACCGUAAGAAUAAG
rnacentral:rRNA from 1 species